rnacentral:rRNA from 1 species
UGGGGAAUCUUCCGCAAUGGACGAAAGUCUGACGCAGCAACGCCGCGCGGAGGAAGAAGGCCUUCGGGUUGUAAACUCCUGUCAUUGGGGAAGAAAAGAAUGACGGUACCCAAUGAGGAAGCCACGGCUAACUACGUGCCAGCAGCCGCGGUAAUACGUAGGUGGCAAGCGUUGUCCGGAAUUACUGGGCGUAAAGGGCGCGUAGGCGGCCUUGUAAGUCAGAUGUGAAACCCCCGGGCUUAACCUGGGGCAUGCAUUUGAAACUGCAGGGCUUGAGUGCAGGAGAGGUAAGUGGAAUUCCUAGUGUAGCGGUGAAAUGCGUAGAUAUUAGGAGGAACACCAGUGGCGAAGGCGACUUACUGGACUGUAACUGACGCUGAGGCGCGAAAGCGUGGGGAGCAAACAGG